GCUGCUUCCGCGCCCCCGCCCACCCGGUUCCCUUCCUACUGGCUACACCGGGCAGAGGAGGGAGCAGUCCGCUCCCAAGUCCCUCCCUCCCCAUUGGUCAAACUGUGGGCCGCGCGCCCCCCCUCUAUUGGCUACAGCCGGGGACCCCUUCUUGCAGCUUACUCCCCAUUGGCUGGAACCGGGGACCGCGAGAUCCUUCGUGGCAUGAAUUACGGGGCUUGGAUGAAAGCAGCCGGCACCGGGAGAGGGGCUUUGGCGCCCCACCGAAGUGGAGCAUUCAGAGGAGCGGGCGCGCCGGCAGGAGCCACGGUGCCAGGGAGCACCCGGAGAGCCACGAUGCUAGUUGUGCCGGAGAGGCACAGUAGAGAGUCCAACCCAGGAAGCUGGUGCAGGCUGAGCAAGCUGCUGACAGAGGAGGACAAUGCGACCGGAGAUGCUGGAACUCAAGGCUGCCGGGAGUGGAGGUGGACGGAAGGUCCUUGCUAUGGGCAACGCGUGUGCCGAAGACCACCGAGACUGGCCCUACGCUGUAUGCCGGGACAAAACGAGACGGGGUUUCUCCAUAGCUUUGGAGGCUGUCCUGGAACCACGAGGUGCAAGUGAAGAGCAAGAGGGACGAGGGUCCUCGAGCCGCAAGGCCAAAGAUAACGCUGUGUGUCCUCCAAUAGUGUGUGGUCUGGGCUGGUCCUGAACCGAGUCAUGCGACCUAGUGCUGAGAUUUUACGUGUUCGGGAGACUGGCAGGUGUCCUGGUAACGUGAAAGACUCAUCAGACAGGACAAAGGCUAUGUUGCUCAUAUGUAUAUGUGUUAGGAGAAGGAGGGGGAAGCCCCAAAGUGUAACCCUUUUCAGUAGUGUCGUAUCCGAGUCACCACAACGUAAUGUGAGGAGUGGGUGUGAACAAAGUCACCAAAACAGAUAACCUAGGACUAAGGAAUUUGCUGGAAGAGUCAUUGAAACCAUGCCGUGUGGGUAACAACAUGGUACAGGCUCUGCAGAGAGUCCAGGCCUCAUCACCAGAGGCAGAGAGCCUGUGUGGAGAAAUGGAAGUCUUUUUUGGGGUGGGUGGGGUUGGAGGGGUUUGAGAUAGGGUUUCUCUGUGGCUUUAGAAGCUGUCCUGUAUCUUGCUCUUGUAGACCAGGCUGGUCUCGAACUCACAGAGAUCUGCCUGCUUCUGCCUCCUGAGUGCCUGACAGAAAUGGAAGUCUUGUAUAGCUCCCUGGUGGUAAGUUUACAGUAAGCGCUGAGGCCAGGCUCUCUGAUCGCCAGGUGGGAUGCAGGUAAGAAGGCAGGGCACACAACAUGGCACUUCUUUGGUGUAAACUCACUAUCCAGAUAGUGAUCAUGGCUAGGCAGGGAGUCACAAUGUCUUAGACGUUUGUGGGUAUCUGCCAGAGAGGGAGAGCCGCUACAAAGCUGCAGCUAGAUUCUCAUACAGGACACUAAUCUGUCUACUUGUUGUGGUAUGCCAUGGGAGAGCCAUUAGCAGUAAGAAAGUGUCUCUGUCUUAGCCAGCGUUCCAUGGCUGUGAAGAGACACCGUGACUACUGCAACUCUUAUAGAAUAAAGCAUGUGAUGGGCUGGCUCACA